rnacentral:tRNA from 2 species
GGGGAAGUAGUAGGGUUAAUUCAUGAAUUAACCCUACCUUUGAUAAGGGGGUGUCGAUCCCCCCUUCCCCCC